rnacentral:lncRNA from 1 species
GACAGCCCAUUUCAAGUAAAAGGCGUGCUCGGACUUUCGAAGAGGCAACCCUUCUCUCAAAGCAGCUUCGUCAAUUUGGAUAACGUUGAUACCGGCCUUCUCAAGAUCCUCCACUUCAUCCUUGAUGGCCAAGGCAAUUUGGUAGCAAGUCUCGAAUCUGGAAAUGUUGCAAUCGUAAAAUAUCAAACUAUGUUCACAACGAAACUUAAAUGAAAUGCGGGUGGAAAUGCAAUAUUUCCAACCAUAUUUUUGCCUGUUAACUUUUCUCAGUCAUACCUGGGCUGAUCAUUUCUAACAAAGGACCAGUUAAGAAUGGUAACAGGGCCAGUAAGCAUUCCCUUCAUUGGGCGUUGAGUCAUGCUUUGAGCAGUUGAUGACCAGAAAACAGUCAUU